AAACGUAGGAGACGAGCGUUAUCCGGAUUUACUGGGCGUAAAGCGCGUGUAGGAGGCAUGUCAAGUUGGAUGUAAAAUCUCCCGGCUUAACUGGGAGGCGUCGUUCAAAACUGAUGAGCUAGAGUAGUGUAGAGGUAAUCGGAACUCCGGGAGUAGCGGUGAAAUGCGUAGAUAUCCGGAAGAACACCAGAGGCGAAAGCGGAUUACUGGACACCAACUGACACUGAGACGCGAAAGCCAGGGUAGCAAACGGGAUUAGAGACCCCGGUAGUCCUGGCCGUAAACGAUGUAGACUCGUCGUUUGGCCUGUAAAAGGGUUGAGUGACUAAGCAAACGCGAUAAGUCUACCGCCUGGGGAGUACGAUCGCAAGAUUAAAACUCAAAUGAAUUGGCGGGG
rnacentral:rRNA from 1 species